UACAGAGGUCUCAAGCGUUGUUCGGAUUCAUUGGGCGUAAAGGGUGUGUAGGUGGCGCGCUAAGUCGGGUGUGAAAUUUCGGAGCUUAACUCCGAAACUGCAUUCGAUACUGGCGUGCUUGAGGACUGGAGAGGAGACUGGAAUUCAUGGUGUAGCAGUGAAAUGCGUAGAGAUCAUGAGGAAGACCAGUGGCGAAGGCGGGUCUCUGGACAGUUCCUGACACUGAGACACGGAGGCCAGGGGAGCAAACGGG
rnacentral:rRNA from 1 species